GUAGGGAAUCUUCCGCAAUGGACGAAAGUCUGACGGAGCAACGCCGCGUGAGUGAAGAAGGUUUUCGGAUCGUAAAGCUCUUUCGUUAGGGACGAACGUGCUCUUUGUGAAUAAUGAGGAGUAAUGACGGUACCUAAAUAAGAAGCCACGGCUAACUACGUGCCAGCAGCCGCGGUAAUACGUAGGUGGCAAGCGUUGUCCGGAAUUAUUGGGCGUAAAGCGCGCGCAGGCGGGAUAUCAAGUCUGUCUUAAAAGUGCGAGGCUCAACCUCGUGAGGGGACAGAAACUGGUAUUCUUGAGUGUCGGAGAGGAAAGUGGAAUUCCAAGUGUAGCGGUGAAAUGCGUAGAGAUUUGGAAGAACACCAGUGGCGAAGGCGACUUUCUGGACGAUGUCUGACGCUGAGGCGCGAAAGCUAGGGGAGCGAACGGGAUUAGAUACCCUAGUAGUCC
rnacentral:rRNA from 1 species